rnacentral:lncRNA from 1 species
UAGCCCAAAAUCCUGACCUUAACCCUAUCGACCCCAGUGUUUCCCACAAUUUGGUUACAAAUAGUUUUGGGCUCAACUGUGUAUACAAUAUGUAUGUUUGAAGAUAAGUCAUUUGACUGACUGAAAGAAAAAAAAAAACUCCCUUGUUUCAUCAUCGUUCAUAGUUUCCAUACAAAGUUUUACAGUGAUAAAUGAAUUAUAUUAGAAGUUUAGCUCUAUCAACUUGCACACAUCAUUGGAUAAAUAAAAAAAUGGUACAUC